UACACUCCUACGGGAGGCAGCAGUGGGGAAUUUUGGACAAUGGGCGAAAGCCUGAUCCAGCCAUGCCGCGUGCAGGAUGAAGGCCUUCGGGUUGUAAACUGCUUUUGUACGGAACGAAACGGCCUUUUCUAAUAAAGAGGGCUAAUGACGGUACCGUAAGAAUAAGCACCGGCUAACUACGUGCCAGCAGCCGCGGUAAUACGUAGGGUGCAAGCGUUAAUCGGAAUUACUGGGCGUAAAGCGUGCGCAGGCGGUUAUGUAAGACAGUUGUGAAAUCCCCGGGCUCAACCUGGGAACUGCAUCUGUGACUGCAUAGCUAGAGUACGGUAGAGGGGGAUGGAAUUCCGCGUGUAGCAGUGAAAUGCGUAGAUAUGCGGAGGAACACCGAUGGCGAAGGCAAUCCCCUGGACCUGUACUGACGCUCAUGCACGAAAGCGUGGGGAGCAAACAGGAUUAGAAACCCCUGUAGUCCCAUGAU
rnacentral:rRNA from 1 species